rnacentral:rRNA from 1 species
CUGUUUUAUCAAAAACAUGUCUUUAUGGAAUUAUAAAAAGUUUAACCUGCCCACUGAAUUUUAAAUGGCCGCAGUAUAUUAACUGUGCAAAGGUAGCAUAAUCAUUAGUCUUUUAAUUGAAGGCUGGUAUGAAUGGUUGGACGAGAUACUAACUGUUUCAUAAAAAUUUAAAUUAAAAUUUUAUAUUUUAGUUAAAAAGCUAAAAUAAAUUUAAAAGACGAGAAGACCCUAUAAAUCUUUAUAUUUACAUUAUUAUAUUUUGAUUGAUAUUUUUUGGUAUAAUAAUUAUUAAUAUUUUAUUGGGGUGAUAUUAAAAUUUAAAUAACUUUUAAUUUAAUAAUUCAUUAAUAUAUGAUUGAUUGAUCUGUUAUUAGCGAUUAAAAAAUUAAGUUACUUUAGGGAUAACAGCGUAAUUUUUUUUGAGAGUUCUUAUUGAAAAAAAAGAUUGCGACCUCGAUGUUGGAUUAAGAUAUGGGUUUAGGUGUAGGUGCUUAAAUUUUAAGUCUGUUCGACUUUUUAAUUCUUACAUGAUCUGAGUUUAAACCGGUGUAAGCCAGGUUGGUUUCUAUCUUUAAUGUUUUAAAAUAUUUCAGUACGAAAGGACCUUAUAUUUAGUAAAUUUUUAUUUUUCAUGUAUGAAUAAUAUUAAUAC